ACAAUUUGAAUGAAAAGGUUAAAAGAUCAGGCAUAGUAUAUGUUCUUAUCAGUUUAAUAUCUGUUACAUGGCCCAGCAGAUCACAUGAUAUUAAAUUAGUUUCUUGUUGGAGAGGGCCCACCACAGCAACUUGGUGUUGGGCCCCUUGAGCGUUGACACCUUUGCAUGGCACUACUGCAUGGCCUGGCGCACCCCUA